CAGUGGAGGCAGGACCCUGGUGAGCAAACCCCAGGCCUCGGGCUGGAUUUAUUCUAAGCUUGGCCUUCCCUUUGAUGGGAGUGACUAUCAUUGGACCAAGCUGAGUCCAGUGUCUUCCUGGACUUGUGGACCAUGCCACCCUUUGGCCAGAGGAAUGGAAUACGCUGAUUGGCUGGGCCUGGGUCGUGUGCCCACUGCUAGGGGCAUGAGGGAAUUUUGUUGAUCCACAGAAUGAAGGGGCCAAUUGUUUGGACAUUUUUUCUUCAAACUCUCAGAAGAAAAUUGUG